rnacentral:rRNA from 1 species
UUCUGGUUGAUCCUGCCAGAGGCGACCGCUUUUGGAGUUCGAUUAAGCCAUGCGAGUAGAAUGAAUUAGAUCAUUGCAAACUGCUCAGUAACACGUGGAUAACCUGCCCUAUGCUCUGGGAUAACCUCGGGAAACUGAGAAGAAUACCGGAUAGACCACAACGCCUGGAACGGUGUGUGGUUGAAAGGUCACGGCAUAGGAUGGGUCUGCGGCGUAUCAGGUCGUAGGGGGUGUAACGGACCUCCUAGCCAUCGACGCGUACGGGUUGUGGGAGCAAUAGCCCGGAGAUGGAUUCUGAGACACGAAUCCAGACCCUACGGGGUGCAGCAGGCGCGAAAACUUCACACUGCAGGAAACUGUGAUGAGGGAACUCCAAGUGACUGCACAUUGUGUAGCCUUUUCUUUACUAUUAAUCGGUAUUGGAAUAAGGGCUGGGAAAGACCGGUGCCAGCCGCCGCGGUAAUACCGGCAGCUCAAGUGGUCGUCGCUUUUAUUGGGCCUAAAACGUCCGUAGCCUGUUUGGUAAAUCUGUGGGUAAAUCAACCAGCUUAACUGGUUGAAUUCUGCAGAGACUGCCAGACUAGGGACCGGGAGAGGUGUGGGGUACUCUAGGGGUAGGGGUAAAAUCCUGUCAUCCUUAGAGGACCACCAGUUGCGAAGGCGCCACACUGGAACGGAUCCGACGGUCAGGGACGAAGCCUAGGGGCACGAACCGGAUUAGAUACCCGGGUAGUCCUAGGUGUAAACGCUGUGAACUUGGUGUCGGGAGUCCGCAAUGGGCCCCCGGUGCCGGAGUGAAGAUGUUAAGUUCACUGCCUGGGGAGUACGGUCGCAAGGCUGAAACUUAAAGGAAUUGGCGGGGGAGCACUGCAACGGGAGGAGCGUGCGGUUUAAUUGGACUCAACGCCGGGA